rnacentral:lncRNA from 1 species
AGCACGCAAGGAGGAAGACGGUGACCGCCAUGGAUGUGGUUUAUGCUCUUAAGAGACAAGGAAGGACUCUUUACGGAUUCGGCGGCUAGGGUUUUGGAUUUGUUUGCUUUUUGCUGUGUUUCUCUACGUUUAUCUAGAAAUGUUAAUUUUCAGAAUUUGGUGUUAGUUCCCAAAAACCUCAAAAAUAUCAAGGAUGUAUUUGCAAUUUCGUUAUUGUAGUUGCCGAUUUCGUGUUCGUUAACAAAAACAAAUAUUGCAAUUUCGUAGUCUUAAACUGUGAUUCUCUUGAGUAACUACAGCAACCAUAUGAUUUGUUUGAUUUCCAUUGAACAACCUCGUCGUCAUCAAAAUGGUAAAAUCUCAUUUGUAAUGUCUUGGUUAACUAUAAUAACCGGAUCGGUUCAAAUUAGGUUGGUUAAUAUUGAUUGAAAUUUGUCAUAUGAAAUCCCAACUGCGGUGUUAAUUUGGUUUGUCGCAAAGGUACAGUAGAUCAAAAGACUAACCGGAUCGGUUCAAAAUAUUAAUCAAAAAUCUGUCCUAUGUGCGAUCAUCGGGUUAUCUCGACACGUGUUCGUAUUAGAUGUAACGAACCGGGUUUCGUCUAAUGAACCGAGUUAAUUCGGGUUGAACAUAAAUUUCGAAAAUUGUCAAAUCAUAUAAUCUCUUUCAUGUUCUAGAGAGAAAGGGAAGGGUCCAGAGGAGACGAAGCUUGGAUUUGCAUCAGCUCUUCUGUGAGAUGUCGCCGUGAAUUUGAUCGGAAUUGAUUCUCAAGAAAUGGGAGCUCCGGAGAGUGAAGACACCGUCGUAAUAGAAUUGGGGAAGAAGGUGGGAGAUGCACAUGUUAUCACUGUGAAUUGUCCUGAUAAAACUGGUUUAUGUUGCGAUAUUUGCAGAAUCGUCCUCGAUUUCGGGCUUUACAUCACAAAAGGAGGUGUGAUUAUUCCAGAAACUGUCUCUAGCUUCAAAAUGAUUUGAGUAAUUUUGAUUUUGUUCUCUGUAAUUUGCUUAGAUUAUUUACCUUGAUUUGGUGUGUAGAUGUUACAACUGAUGGAGUUUGGUGUUACAUAGUAUUGUGGGUGGUUCCUUAUUAUGAUUCUCUUAGAUUGAGAUGGUCACAUUUGAAGAACCAGCUUGUAUCUGUAUGCCCGUCUUGCUCUACAUACUUUGUGCUCAAUUUGAUGUCUUCUUGUCCUGCAUCAACGCCUGUUUACUUGUUGAAGUUCUUUUGCUUAGAUCGGAAAGGACUCUUGCACGGUACUGUGACUUAUCAGAUCUGAUCGGGUGAUUAUGUGAUGAUUUUGCUUACUGAGUGGUAUUUUGAUUGUGUGAGAAUCUUGUUUGUAGAUGUUACUAGAGUAUUAACUGAGCUUGAGCUCUCAAUUCAAACCGUGAAGGUGACUACGACACCAGAUGGGAGAGUUAUGGAUCUUUUCUUUAUUACUGAUAACAUGUGAGUAAGUGAGUUAAACAAUCUGCUCCUUUAAGACUUGCCGUUUAGUAUUCUGAUGAUGAUUCGUAGUAUUGUCUGCUAGGGAUCUUUUACAUACAGAAAAGCGCCAAGAGGAUACACGAGGGAAGUUUCGGUCUGUCUUGGGAGAAGCAUGUAUAAGCUGUGAACUUCAGUUAGCUGGUCCUGAGUAUGAAUGUCAUCAGAAUAUUCCAUCUCUUUCUCCAGCAGUGGCUGAAGAAUUGUUUACGUCUGAGGAGCUUACCGAUGAAGACAAUCGUGUACAGCUUCUUACUGAUGAUAUGAUAAAGCUGAAGGAUUCUACUAUCACAGUUGACAACCAUUUAAGCCCGGCUCACACAUUACUCCGAAUAAGCUGUGUUGAUCACAGAGGCCUUCUCUAUGAUGUAUUAAGAACAUUUAAAGACUUUGACAUUAAGGUAAUGGUAAAACUAACAUACAGAUUUUUUCAGAUUUUAAGUAUAUUUGUACACUGCCUAUUUCUUUGUGUUAUCUUAGUUUGUGAUCUGUUUCUGCAGAUGUCUUAUGGUAGGUUCUCACCUCAAACACAAGGUCAUCGGGAUCUAGAUCUAUUUAUUCAGCUGAAAGAUGGGAACAAGAUCGUGGAUCCUGAUACGCAGAAUUCGUUAUGUUCACGUCUGAAAGCUGAAAUGCUUCACCCUUUACGUGUCAUAAUAACAAACCGAGGGCCAGACACUGAACUUGUAGUUGCUAAUCCAGUUGAGAUAUCUGGUAAAGGCAGACCAAGAGUGUUCUAUGACGUUACCCUUUCACUAAAAGUGCUUGGAAUCUGCAUAUUCUCGGUAAGAAACAAAACCUAAACUCACGGAAGUCUUAAAAUCAAUGUUCAGUAACUCUUAACUGUGA